GAUUACUUAGUUUAAAGGUAAAAUACUAACUUGUCAUGUUAGAAGAUAGAAGUUCGAAUCUCCUAGUAAUCU
rnacentral:tRNA from 1 species